GAAUUGAAGGACACAGGAACCCCAUGGAAAACGACCCAGCAUGUGGAAGCUGCUGUCUGAUGCCUCCUGGAAGAGGAGGGUCACCCUGAGGGUGUGGCCCUUGGCCCUCCCCUCACUUCAUUCAGCCGUGCCAAAGUCCUACUGCCUUCUGUAGGGACAAGAAAGAGUGAAGUCCCCUAGGAAGGGUAAGGAGGAUGGCUCUCCUAACGCCUUGUUUGAGGAAGGUUCUCCAUUUAGCCAGAGUGUCUCUGCUUGUACAGAGACAUCAAAGCCGAGGCUUGGUACUUUGGCAGGCAAAGACUAAGGAACUUCAGUGGUUUUUCCUCCAGUGUUGGUUACCCAGGACAGCAAUACUACUUUAAUAGUUCAGGCAGCUCUGGAUAUCAGGAUUAUUAUCCGCAUGGCAGGCCGGAUCACUAUGAAGAAGCACCCAGGAACUAUGACACGUACACAGCAGGACUGAGUGAAGAAGAACAGCUCGAGAGAGCAUUACAAGCCAGCCUCUGGGACCGAGGACAUACCAGAAACAGCCCACCACCCUACGGGUUUCAUCUCUCACCAGAAGAAGAAAUGAGGAGACAGCGGCUUCACAGAUUCGAUAGCCAGUGAGGUGGCGUCUUGGGAAGACAUGGCCUAUUCGUGUAAUUAUUGCCCAUUUGGCUCAUUCCCCAAGCCCCUAAUUCAUUUUAAUUCAUUUUAAACAAAAGCAGAGUACACCGGUAUUGCUCCAGAUCGCUCACAUCGCCUGGGACGGUCCCAUGGCCCCUAUGAGUCAACUCGCAGCUUGCAGGGAGUGGGCCUUCUCCUGGCCUUGUUCUUGCUCAUAAACAGGUCACUUCCUCCAGGAAGGGACCAGUUUCCACUCUCCUUUCUCUCACUGCUGACUCAGCGACGCCUCUGCCUCGGUCUGCUUUUGAAGACUGUGACCUUCACCAGGAGGUUUUACUUACACCAGUCGGGAAGAUUAGUCCCUCAUUCUGCCUGGAGU
rnacentral:sRNA from 1 species